rnacentral:rRNA from 1 species
UACGUAGGGUGCGAGCGUUGUCCGGAAUUAUUGGGCGUAAAGGGCUCGUAGGCGGUCUGUCGCGUCGGGAGUGAAAACUCAGGGCUUAACCCUGAGCCUGCUUCCGAUACGGGCAGACUAGAGGUAUGCAGGGGAGAACGGAAUUCCUGGUGUAGCGGUGGAAUGCGCAGAUAUCAGGAGGAACACCGGUGGCGAAGGCGGCAUCCUGGACCGGUAUUGACGCUGAUGCGCGAAAGCCAGGGGAGCAAACGGG